GGGCCUGUAGCUCAACGGUAGAGCAUCGCCCUUGCAAGGCGGGGGUUUCGGGUUCAAAUCCCGACAGGUCCA
rnacentral:tRNA from 1 species